GACGGAGGGGGCUAGCGUUGUUCGGAAUUACUGGGCGUAAAGGGCGCGUAGGCGGCUCUUCAAGUUAGGCGUGAAAGCCCUGGGCUUAACCUAGGAAUAGCGUUUAAUACUGGAGAGCUAGAGAUUGGUAGAGGGAAAUGGAAUUCCUAGUGUAGAGGUGAAAUUCGUAGAUAUUAGGAAGAACACCAGAGGCGAAGGCGGUUUCCUGGGCCAAUACUGACGCUGAGACGCGAAAGCGUGGGGAGCGAACAGG
rnacentral:rRNA from 1 species